UCCCUAGUAGCUCAGUUGUAAAGAACCUGCCUGCAAUGCAGGGGACCCGGAUUCGAUCCCUGGGUUGGGAA
rnacentral:tRNA from 1 species